rnacentral:rRNA from 1 species
AGGGUUUGAUCAUGGCUCAGAACGUACGCUGGCGGCACGCCUAAUACAUGCAAGUCGAACGAAGUAGCAAUACUUAGUGGCAGACGGGUGAGUAACAUGUAGGUAUCUUCCCUUCGGUGAGGAAUAACACGAGGAAACUUGUGCUAAUACCUCAUAAGUCUUCACGGAGAAAGCUUUAUGCACCGAUGGAUGAGCCUGCACUUGAUUAGUUUGUUGGUAGGGUAAUGGCCUACCAAGACAAUGAUCAAUAGCUGAUUUGAGAGGAUGAUCAGCCACAUUGGGACUGAGACACGGCCCAAACUCCUACGGGAGGCAGCAGUAGGGAAUCUUGCACAAUGGGGGAAACCCUGAUGCAGCGAUGCCGCGUGAGUGAAGAAGGCCUUUGGGUUGUAAAGCUCUUUCGUCGGGGAAGAAAAUGACUGUACCCGAAUAAGAAGGUCCGGCUAACUUCGUGCCAGCAGCCGCGGUAAUACGAAGGGACCUAGCGUAGUUCGGAAUUACUGGGCUUAAAGAGUUCGUAGGUGGUUAAAAAAGUUGGUGGUGAAAUCCCAGAGCUUAACUCUGGAACUGCCAUCAAAACUUUUUAGCUAGAGUAUGAUAGAGGAAAGCAGAAUUUCUAGUGUAGAGGUGAAAUUCGUAGAUAUUAGAAAGAAUACCAAUUGCGAAGGCAGCUUUCUGGAUCAUUACUGACACUGAGGAACGAAAGCAUGGGUAGCGAAGAGGAUUAGAUACCCUCGUAGUCCAUGCCGUAAACGAUGUGUGUUAGACGUUGGAAAUUUAUUUUCUGUGUCGCAGCGAAAGCAAUAAACACACCGCCUGGGGAGUACGACCGCAAGGUUAAAACUCAAAUGAAUUGACGGGGACCCGCACAAGUAGUGGAGCAUGUGGUUUAAUUCGAAGAUACGCGCAGAACCUUACCAACACUUGACAUGUUCGUCGCGACUUUAAGAGAUUAAAGUUUUCGGUUCGGCCGGACGAAACACAGGUGCUGCAUGGCUGUCGUCAGCUCGUGUCGUGAGAUGUUGGGUUAAGUCCCGCAACGAGCGCAACCCUCACUUUUAGUUGCCAUCAUUUAGUUGGGCACUCUGAAAGAACUGCCAGUGAUAAGCUGGAGGAAGGUGGGGAUGACGUCAAGUCCUCAUGGCCCUUACGUGUUGGGCUACACACGUGCUACAAUGGCAUUUACAAUAGGAAGCAAGACGGCGACGUUAAGCAAAUCCUAAAAAAAUGCCUCAGUUCGGAUUGUACUCUGCAACUCGAGUACAUGAAGCUGGAAUUACUAGUAAUCGCGGAUCAGCGCGCCGCGGUGAAUACGUUCCCGGGUCUUGUACACACCGCCCGUCACACCAUGGGAGUUGGUUCUACCUUAAGGCAAAGUUUAACACCUUUGACCACGGUAUAGUCAGCGGCUGGGGUGAAGUCGUAACAAGGUAACCAAGGG